GUUUUGAUUGUUGUCACCAAAGUAGUGUCUCUGAAAGUUAGUCCCUGUGAGGGAGUUGAGGGAGUGGAUACUGCUACAAAUGUUGAGGUUCUUGUUAUUACUGUAGUAGUACCACUUGUUAAUGGCAUUAUUGGUCUUAGAGUAGUGACAUCACUUGUGACUGUCGAUGUAGCAGUGGGAGUUGUGGCAUCACUUGAAGUGACUGUAGACGUAGUUGAAGUAGUGGUGGCAUCGCUUGAAGUGACUGUGGAUGUAGUUGAGGGAGUGGUGGCAUCACUUGAAGUGACUGUAGACGUAGUUGAAGUAGUGGUGGCAUCACUUGAAGUGACUGUGGAUGUAGGUGAAGUAGUGGUGGCAUCACUUGAAGUGACUGUGGAUGUAGUUGAAGGAGUGAUGGCAUCACUUGAUGUGACUGCUGAUGUAGUAUCACUUGGAGUGACAAUUGAUGUAGUUGAGGCAGUGGUGCCAUCACUUGAAGUGGGUGUUGAGGGAGUAGUGGCAUCACUUG
ensembl:lncRNA